GUUCCCGUUCCUGCGGUCAAACACCGGAAUCGGCGGCAGGGGGAGCGGGGAAAUGAAUUGUCGUGAGCCGGGGUCCCCCUCCUCGAGCCGCAUGAGCGAGACGUGCCCCCUUGCUGAGCUGCAGGAGGAAGCUGUGCAAUCCCUGGGCAGCGUACCCGGACGCGUAGAGCAGCCGGAGCAGCCUGGGUUUGAACCACGCUGCCCUGGGACUCAUCUCCAGGCCUGCGCCAGGUGGAACAGAGACUUCGGAUGUGUCUGAUUGGGCUCUUGUGUCGGCAUUCCUUACAGGGGCAGAGACAGCUAACAGGGAAGUAUUCUGCCUCUUCCUGCCCUGGGGAGGGUUUUAUUAAGUGUUUGAUUUUUUUCCUUUGGACAGCUUGAGGGGGGAUAUAGUCCCCUGAAGCAUGCAUGAAGAAGAGGAGGGUGUGGGAGGAGGUGGUAGACGUGACAGACGAGCAGCAGGACAGCAAUCGUGUGACUUAGGGUUCAGUCUGUGGCGAGAGCUGGGACAGAAUGCCUUUGCUUUCUUGCUCUGGUCUGGUGACGGUCCCCAGCAUUGGCUAUGCUCUAGUGCAGGAGCCAUCUGUGCCUCCUCAGCCUGUGGUAGUGAGGAAAUAGGUCAGCUCAAGGCAGAUUUCCUCAGAUCUGCGUUCCCCACAUCACAGGUUGUUUGAGGAGAAAUCUCAGGAAUCCACAUAUUAAAUUUGCAACGGAGGCACUCAGCUCCUGCAGGUGUGGGUCUGUGACACCUGUUUCUGGCCUCUUCCCAAGGAGGAUGGCUCCAUUACCAUGGAGAGUGGGGUAAUUGCUGUAUAUCUGGACACGAUGAGGCACCUGACCUUGCUUCAGCUGCUGGACUCCGGGAGGUCUGUGUCACCCAGUUCCUGGUCCUGAGCUCCUCAGACCUCUCCCAGGACUUCUCACUGUGCACCUUUCUCCACUGCCAGUCCUUCGGAUGCUGCCGUUCCCCUAUUCCACUUUCUUUCAGAGAGUCAUUCCCAGAUGGCUGCUAUGCCAACAGCUUUGCACUCCUGGGUGAUGUUCUCCUCUACUGGAUGUGAUGGAUUAUUAGUUGGAAACCAGGUAGAGGAGCCGUGCAUGCAGCACUUGGAUUUUGGCUUUGCCCUGAGCUUCCUGCCUCCCUGUCAGUCCUAGCUGCAAGAAGUCACUGAGAACGCUGCUGAGGCCUCUGGAAUCACCAACCACCGGAUAUCAGCAGGUUUGGCUACGGAAGCAGCCGCAGGCAGAGACUGUCGGGACGUCCAUGGUGCCGAGGCAUCGUUUUCCAUCCAGGACAGAGUUUGUUGGCUCGUCUCCCAAAAGCUAAGUGUCGGGGAUGGGGGUGAGGAGAAGAGGAAAAAGGUUUUCAGUGCCAGGAGGCAAUUCAAAGCUAGCUUAGGGGAGAGGGCCCUAGAGGGCCAGACCCCUCAGAAGUAAAGGGCGAGGGUUUCUCCCCAGCAUCACCAGAGCCUUGGCUGGGCAGGGCAAUUCCAAGCCAUGUCUGUGUUCUGGCAAGCUUCACGUCUUGAGCCUUCUUUGAGUGUUUGAGAGUUCACAGGGUUAGGGUGCAUGAAGACAUUCCCAGCCAAGCCUGGGAUCCCUGUGCCAGGAACAUCCCUAGCUGCAAGGUGUAGGGUUGUAAGGAAGUAGGGUCCAGCAGGGGCACUUGAGAGAGACCCAGUGAGGUUGAGGGAGGACUUGAGAGGUGAAAGAGUGUCAGGGCAGAGAGCAGGUGGUGAAAGUAAGGUGUAGAGGCUAGGAUGCAAAUUUGAGCGCAGGUGUGUGAGCCCUGAGAAGCGUCCUGUUUCCCUGAGAGCAGGUGCAGGCAGCCAGGCUGCGGCAGGCCAGCGGCAGAAGAGCCGGGAGGGGCAGGCAGGAAGCGUUAGUGGGGAGCAGGGUCCGCAGGGCCGGGUCUAACCGGGGGUUUCCCGCCCCGGCCCACCCUGGGAUCUCCUGUCUCCCCGCAGUCGAGGAUGUCUCCUCCCAUUCCUCGAGGCGGCGGUUGGUAAGGCUUCGUGCCUUUGCCACCGCCAAGAGCGCGGCUCUGUCAGCCUCUGCCCUGUCUCAGGGCCAAAGUUAGUUAGGCUAGGGAGAAACUGUGGAUGACUCGUCCUGCCCGCAGGACAACCCUUGGGACCCUGGAUCAGGAGCAUCCUCGACUGCUAGCAUAGGGCCUUAGAGAAGUAGGGUGAAGCAGGGCACUUGAGAGAGACCCAGCGAGGCUGAGGGAGGGCUCGAGAGGUGAAGGAGCGUCAGGCCGGAGAGCAGGCCAUGAAUGUAAGGUGUAGAGGCUAGGAUGCAAGUUUGAGUGCAGGUGUAUGAGCCCUGAGAACAGUCCUGUUUCCCUGAGAGCAGGUGCAGGCAGCCAGGCUGUGUCAGGGCAGUGGCAGAAGCGCUGAGGGGGCAGGCAGUAGGGCUAGGGCUAGGCAGGAAAUGAGGAGGGGGGGCAGAGUCGACUGGGUUGGGGUUGAGCGUGGGAUGCCCACCCUGGUAUCUCUGUCCUGCUGCAAUCAGGGAUGUCACAGCCCUAGUGGAGGCCAGGGUGGGUGGGUGGGCUUAGCAUCCAUCAUGCCACCAAGACUUUGUCCGUGCAGGUGUCAGGCUGUGAGCGAAGCCAAAGCAAGCUGCCCAAGACUCUGGGCAUUGUUAAGAGAGGGGAAGCCCCAGGAUCGGUGUUUUUUUGGCUGAUGUGCUGCAAAGUUCAUGCUUUAAUGUUUGGUUUUCUUUUUUAUAGCUGAGGAAGAGACACCAGGCUGGU